rnacentral:rRNA from 1 species
CUCAGGACGAACGCUGGCGGCGUGCCUAAUACAUGCAAGUCGAGCGAACAGAAGGGAGCUUGCUCCCGGAUGUUAGCGGCGGACGGGUGAGUAACACGUGGGUAACCUGCCUGUAAGACUGGGAUAACUCCGGGAAACCGGAGCUAAUACCGGAUAGUUCCUUGAACCGCAUGGUUCAAGGAUGAAAGACGGUUUCGGCUGUCACUUACAGAUGGACCCGCGGCGCAUUAGCUAGUUGGUGGGGUAAUGGCUCACCAAGGCGACGAUGCGUAGCCGACCUGAGAGGGUGAUCGGCCACACUGGGACUGAGACACGGCCCAGACUCCUACGGGAGGCAGCAGUAGGGAAUCUUCCGCAAUGGACGAAAGUCUGACGGAGCAACGCCGCGUGAGUGAUGAAGGUUUUCGGAUCGUAAAGCUCUGUUGUUAGGGAAGAACAAGUGCGAGAGUAACUGCUCGCACCUUGACGGUACCUAACCAGAAAGCCACGGCUAACUACGUGCCAGCAGCCGCGGUAAUACGUAGGUGGCAAGCGUUGUCCGGAAUUAUUGGGCGUAAAGGGCUCGCAGGCGGUUUCUUAAGUCUGAUGUGAAAGCCCCCGGCUCAACCGGGGAGGGUCAUUGGAAACUGGGAAACUUGAGUGCAGAAGAGGAGAGUGGAAUUCCACGUGUAGCGGUGAAAUGCGUAGAGAUGUGGAGGAACACCAGUGGCGAAGGCGACUCUCUGGUCUGUAACUGACGCUGAGGAGCGAAAGCGUGGGGAGCGAACAGGAUUAGAUACCCUGGUAGUCCACGCCGUAAACGAUGAGUGCUAAGUGUUAGGGGGUUUCCGCCCCUUAGUGCUGCAG